GUAACACGUACCUAACCUACCUUUAGGAUUGGGAUAACUACUGGAAACAGUAGCUAAUACCGAAUAUAAUAUUUUUUCGCAUGAAGAAAUAUAGAAAGGAGCCUUUAAAGCUUCACCUAGAAAUGGGGGUGCGGAACAUUAGUUAGUUGGUGAGGUAAUGGCUCACCAAGACAAUGAUGUUUAGCGGGGCCAAGAGGUUGUACCGCCACACUGGGACUGAGAUACGGCCCAGACUCCUACGGGAGGCAGCAGUAAGGAAUUUUCCACAAUGAGCGAAAGCUUGAUGGAGCGACACAGCGUGCAGGAUGAAAUCCCUCGGGAUGUAAACUGCUGUUAUAAGGAAAGAAAAAAUCAAAUAGGAAAUGAUUUGAUCUUGACGGUACCUUAUUAGAAAGCGACGGCAAACUAUGUGCCAGCAGCCGCGGUAAUACAUAGGUCGCAAGCGUUAUCCGGAAUUAUUGGGCGUAAAGCGUCCGUAGGUUUUUUGUUAAGUUUAAGGUUAAAUACUGAAGCUCAACUUCAGCCCGCUUUAGAUACUGGCAAAAUAGAAUUAUGAAGAGGUUAGCGGAAUUCCUAGUGUAGCGGUGGAAUGCGUAGAUAUUAGGAAGAA
rnacentral:rRNA from 2 species